AUCUCCUGAGGAUCUUGUUAAAAUGUAGACUCUGAUAUAAUUAAAUCUGGGAGUGGGGCCUGAGAUUCUGCAUUUCUAACAAGCUCUCAGGUGAUGUCCA
rnacentral:pre_miRNA from 1 species